rnacentral:lncRNA from 10 species
GGAAGUUCGAGGUCAGGGGGACUUUUAUUUUAUAUGAGGUCCUUCCUGCUGCAACAUCCCAUGGCAGAAGGUAGAAAGGCAAGAGAGAAACCCGUGAGAAAGAAAGAAGGGAAGAGGGCCAGAACUCUUCCUUUUAUCAGGAACCCACUCCCAAGGUAAUGGCAUUAAUCCAUUCAUGAUGGCAGGGCACUUGUGACCUAAUCACCUCUUUAGGAUCCCACCUCUCAAAACUGUUGCAUUGAGGAUUAAAUUUCAAACACAUGAAAUUUGGGGGACACAUUCAAACCAUAGCAAUGUCCAAGCCAGUCUUUGCCCUAGAGAGGAAAGAGCACUUGAUGAUGUCAUCAGCUGAGACAAUAGCAGAAAGGAGAGCACAUCAGUGGGCUUGAAGGUGGAGCACCGAUAGACUGCAUUUCAGGUAUCAUUAUUUAUCUAAAUCUCCGGAGCCAUUGAGGACCAAGAUCAUACUUGCUGAAUAAAUGCACGGAGCAGGAUCAGAGGAUAGACACAGAAUGGGCCAAGAAGAGAAAUAUUAUUCCUCAUAAGAGCUUGCUUGAUUGCAACCACCAAGGACAUCCACAAACCAGGGCAAGAAGGACCAUCCGUAAUUCUUUCCCAUAAAUAGUGACAGGAAGAAAAUAAACGCCCUAUUCUUCAAUGAUUUGAACCACCUCUGGAGCACAAACUUUCUCUAAAUUCACAGGGCAAAUAUCCAUCAUGGGGCAGGUAUCUAUGCUGCCAUGGAAAGUAACAUAAAAUGUACUAAGUCAUCACAGGGAGUUUUAAUUUUGUUUUUAAGGUCAAUUGCCAUGCUGGGGUAAAAAGCAUUGAUCCUUGCCUUUUAUCACCGGAAAAAUUCUUCACCAGUACUUUGUGAAAAUCUCGCCUCAUCAGGGCUGCCAAGGUCAAUGCAACCUAAGUAACCAAGCUGGGAGAUGCUUGCCUAAUUAUUAAAUAUUUAGCAAACAGUUUGUGACUAUUUAACUGUUUGCACCUGGCACCCUCUUUUCACUACGUGAGGCCUCCUGGCACCCUGACCUCUUCCCCCACCCCUACCCACUGCCCAGGCCGCCAGCACCCCUGGGGGGCAAAUACCGGGACCCAAGGGCAUUUCAAAGAAACAGCAGAGGUCACAUUCCAUUUCCUUUUUAUUAAAAAACAUACUUAAAAUGGGGGAGGAGGGCACAGAUCUAAGGUAAAAUCUCUUGCAGUUUUUUCAAGUUCGCAUGCACCGUUGAAAGUUCAUUAGUUAGGGAUUUAAAAGCAAAAAUGUUUCACACAACCAAUUAAACGCCAAGCUUUACAAACGCCUUGGUCUUUGGUUUUGGGAAUCUGUAAAAGUCCGCCUCCCCCCACCCGAGUUUUGCCCCUUUUAGAGCCCCUUUGUUGAAUUACGUGACUUUUCCCGAAGUCAUCAAACUUUGAAUUGCGUCUCUAAUUUUUUUUUUCAGGGCAAAAGCAAAUCAAGAAAUUAAACUUAAAAGUAGGCGACUCGGAGAGAAGUGGGGGAAAGCUCGCCCCAAAGCCAAGUUCCGCAGGACUAAAGCCCUCUUUGCGCGCGCGGGGCGGGGGAUUGUCC